GGGUGGCGCUCGGGUUCGGUCGAUCGAUGGUGGAGAAGCAACGCGAAAGGCUGGCAACACAGACGCUGGCAAACACCGAACACAGCAGGGAUUCUGAAGGGGAUGGAAAUGGAGUGGCUAUGUUUGCGUGUAUGAUGACCAGCGUGCAAAUGGCGUGCGUGUGUACCCACAAUGCCCCAGCAGGGAACGGAGGAUGAGGAAUCCAAGUAAAAUGGAGCAUGGAGACAGUGGAGCACAGGGGUACGUGGAGUGGAUAGAUGGAGCGGCUAACAGUAAUAGCAGGCAGAAGAUGAGAGAAUCUUCUUUGUGAGAGCAGCCACUUGUGUCACUGUGUGCUGGGGACUGUGAUUCCUCAGAAGGCCAAGCACCACGUUCCUCUUCAGGCAGUACAGAGCCCCAGCUGAUGCUCCUGGCCCCCAGGUGAACUGUGUAAAAGCCCGGUCCCUCUUUUCUUCCCUUUUAUACCUCUCUAUCCGUGUUCAUCCUCCCUUGUGUACAGAUUACCUUCAAAAUCAACAACAGCUCCAGCUAGCUUCAAAGUGUCCUUUUUGUCUGUGUUGCAUAUGAUGCUUGUUGUUUGAAGUUUUAAAUGUCUUGUCAUUUACGAUAGAAUGCAAAUGUACUGAAGUGCCAGACUAGACAUGCAUGUGUGGGUGAUUUCUUAUGCAACAUGUCCAUCUGAGACAGUCUUGAUUUAUUAAUGUUUUGAUAUGUGGAAACACUCACUUUAUUUCAUGAUGAUAUUUUUUGAUACAUGAAGGUAUCUAAAUUAAAAAAAACUGAAGACAACAGUAAUUGAACACUAUAGUUACCCAUAAAUUUCAAGAAUAUAGUCAAUAUAGUCAAUAGUACUUGAUGAUGGGCACUAGUUAUUAUAUAAUUGUCAUUUUUUCUCAACCCUAUGUUG